rnacentral:misc_RNA from 1 species
GUGAGUCAUCGAAUCUUUGAACGCACCUUGCACCCUUUGGUAUUCCGAAGGGUACACCCGUUUGAGUGUCAUUGUAAUCUCACCUCUUCAACUUUCGAUGGUUGAUCAGUGUGGACUUGGAUGGUGCUGUGUGACAACAGCUCGUCUGAAAUGCUUGAGUGUACCCUGUUCAGUGGUGUAUUCAGUGUAAUAAAACUUCACUGGAGUUGAUCCUUUGGAUCACACCUCUUUGACCAUGGCUCUAUGCUUCCAACUGUCCUUUUGUGACAAUGCUUUGACAAUUUGACCUCAAAUCGGGUGGGACUACCCGCUGAACUUAAGCAUAUCAAUAAGCGGAGGA